CUUCUUCAUUCUUCACUGACAUUCUAGAAUCCAGCAUUCUGGCUUGCUUGCUCUUUUCCUUCUCCUUUUCAGGCCUUCGUUGCUGCUCGUUCUCAAUCCUUAUCAUCAUUUUUGAUUUCUCUGGUUCAGCUCCAAUUGGUCUUUGGUGUUAUUUUUUGAAUUACCCGAGCAUGAGAAAUUUUCUUUUGGUUGCUUAGUUCUCCUUAUCAAGGAAAUACAAACAAAAGUGAAUAAAGAUGAGGCGAACAAAUUUUCAGUCACAAUACUCUUUAUCAAUUAAGGCUAUGACACUUAUCAUGAAAAUGAUACAACCAAAAGGAUGAGUAGAAGAAUCGUCCCUGACAAUCAUAACAACAGAAAUAUUGCUGGUAGUAAAAUAAAGUUGCUUAUAUGGCCCUUGAUACCAAGCACGCUUGACACAAAUCACAAUAAAAAUGUGUUGUAUUAGAUAACUUAAAUCACCCUCUUUGUAAAGAACCUAGGUUCUUUUUUAAUAUUUUGUACAAGUUCAUGUUGCUCUUUUAGUUGUGUUGUGUUGUGUUAAAAUGUUGCACGGUACCAGAAGAUAGAAUUUUGUCAAUCCAAGUAUUGCCCUAUACAUACUACUUCUAACGAAAUAUUGCAAUACUGAUUUGAUGUUUUUUAUU